rnacentral:rRNA from 1 species
AACGGCCAUACCCUGCUAAAUAUACCGGUUCUCGUUAGAUCACCGAAGUCAAGCAUCAUUGGGCGCGGUCAGUACUUGGGUGGGAGACCACCUUGGGAAACACCGCGUGCCGU